GUGAGCUGCUUUUUUGAGCCCUGGAAGAUCCCAAUUGGCAGAUGCCCAGCACCUGGGAAACUGUUUCCCCUUCCUACCCACUCCUGGCUUGGAGGUCACAGAAGCUGCAGGGCACCAUUAUGCCUAGAGCAAGGGAUUUUGCUUCUGCUUGGGAUAUUUUCUUUCCUAGGUUUGUUUUCUUUAUACCUUUUCACUCCCCAACUUUUUUUCUGGAAAGGCCACAGAGGAGAGUAAUUCAGCUAUGGAAGAAUAAUGUCAGGUCUGGCGGUCCUCUGCUGUGAGUGUCCUUAUGAGAUGUGCUUAAAAAAUACAGUGAACGGUCAUUUGAGAGAUGCAGAUGAAAACAACACUGAGAUUCCACCUCACCCCACAAAAAUGGCUGCUGUCAAGAAAUCAACCCAUAACAAAUGCUGGCAGGGUUGUGGGGAGAAAGGAACCCUUCUCCAUUGUUGGUGGGAGUGCAGACUGG
rnacentral:lncRNA from 1 species